GAUGAACGCUGGCGGCGUGCCUAAUACAUGCAAGUCGAGCGAAUAGACGAAGCUUUUUCCUCUAUGACGUUACCGGCGGACGGGUAAGUCAUACGUGGCUAACUUAUCUAUAAGACUGACAUCACUUCGGGAACCCGGAGAUAACAUCGGUUAUUAUUUCGAACCGCAUGGUUCGUUAGUGAUCGAUGGAUUUGCUAACACUUAUAGAUGGACCUGCGUCGUAUUAGUUAGUUGGUACGGUAACGGCUUACCAAGGCAACGAUACGUAGCCGACCUGAGAGGGUGGUCGGCCACACUGGAACUGGAGAACGGUCCAGACUCCUACGGGAAGCAAGAGUAGGGAAACUUCCGCAAAUGGGGGAAACCUUACGGAACAACGGCGGGUGAGUGAAAAAGGUCUUCGGAUCGUAAAACUCUGUUAUGAGGGAAGAACAAGCAGGAAGGUAACUGUGCACGUCUUGACGGUACCUAAUCAGAAAGCCACGGCUAACUACGUU
rnacentral:rRNA from 1 species